rnacentral:rRNA from 1 species
UACGGAGGGUGCAAGCGUUAUCCGGAUUCACUGGGUUUAAAGGGUGCGUAGGUGGGCUGGUAAGUCAGUGGUGAAAUCUCCGGGCUUAACCCGGAAACUGCCAUUGAUACUACUGGUCUUGAAUGUCGUGGAGGUGAGCGGAAUAUGUCAUGUAGCGGUGAAAUGCUUAGAUAUGACAUAGAACACCAAUUGCGAAGGCAGCUCACUACACGGAUAUUGACACUGAGGCACGAAAGCGUGGGGAUCAAACAGG